UACGUAGGGUGCAAGCGUUGUCCGGAAUUAUUGGGCGUAAAGAGCGUGUAGGCGGCCCGAUUAGUCCGCUGUGAAAGUCCAGGGCUCAACCCUUGAAUGCCGGUUGAUACUGUCGGGCUAGAGUCCGGAAGAGGCGAGUGGAAUUCCCGGUGUAGCGGUGAAAUGCGCAGAUAUCGGGAGGAACACCAAUGGCGAAGGCAGCUCGCUGGGACGGUACUGACGCUGAGACGCGAAAGCGUGGGGAGCAAACAGG
rnacentral:rRNA from 1 species